UCCAGGAUGGCCGAGUGGUUAUGGCGCCAGGCUUGUGACCUGGAAAUCGCAGGUUCGAUUCCUGCUCCUGGAG